UCUCUGAGAAUUGGGGUAGGCCACAAAUCCUGGUGGAGAAGCCCCCAAAUGUAAGACCUCAGAGGCUGGGCCUCCUCUCAAGUCCCGGGAUGAGCUGGCCAGCACCCCAGUGACCCAAGAGAAA
rnacentral:pre_miRNA from 7 species